UUGCUGUGUUUGUUCUUCGUGGGCUGAAUCUGAUUCUCCCCUGGCUGCCAAAAAGCAGGAAUAGCAGCUUGAAAUACUGGAACCAAAGAAGAGCAAACUUUGAGGAGUUUCUCAUGAUGACAAAUUCUGGUCUUCAGCACCUUCCCCACAGAAGUCCCAGGAUUUUAUCCUGAAGUGCUGCUUUUGCAGAGACUUUCUGGCCUGGUUUGUACAUGCCAGGAUCCUCACAUGCUCAGGGGAGACCAUCAGUGCUCUGCAGUAUAAAGAAUGUUUUCUUCCCCCUGUGUCCAGCUGGAUUCCUGACUGUCAUCAUUCAUGGCAGAAAUCAAUAAUGGACCCUGGGAAGAUGAAUAUUUGUGAAAGAAAAGAUGAUAUCUAACAGCAAUAAAUCUUUUGUGGGAUUCAUAUGUCUUCUUCAGUUUCCAGUACAGAAAUGAUUAAG